GUAAAGUAUCCUGGAAUGGAUCGCCUUGGAGGGUGACAGCCCCGUUCAUACCUGACAUAAUGGUUGUACGACCGGCUUUCUACGAGUCGAGUUGUUUGGGAUUGCAGCUCUAAGUGGGUGGUAAAUUCCAUCUAAAGCUAAAUAUUGAUGGGAGACCGAUAGCGAACAAGUACCGUGAGGGAAAGAUGCAAAGAACUUUGAAAAGAGAGUUAAAUAGUACCUGAAAUUGCUGAAAUGGAACCGAUGGGAAGCAGUGUUGGUGCUGGUAUUCAUACCGGUAACAAGUCAAGCUUCCUUAAUUGUGUGGGAAAGGCUUCUGAACCAGUUGGGUCAGUUUUGCUAUCAUGCGAUUGAGGGACUUUGACAAAAUGCUUCUUAUCAUCCCGUCUUGAAACACGGACCAAGGAGUCUAACAUGUGUGCGAGUGCUCGGGGUUUACCCCCCAGCGCGGAAUUAAUGUAAAGGUGGAUUUAUUCACUGAGGUAGGAUCUUUGCACUAUCGACCGACCAUGAUCCUCCGGGAGAAAGGUUUGAGUGUGAGCAUACAUGUUGGGACCCGAAAGAUGGUGAACUAUGCCUGAGUAGGGCGAAGCCAGGGGAAACUCUGGUGGAGGCCCGCAGCGAUUCU
rnacentral:rRNA from 1 species